CGCUGGCGGCAUGCCUUACACAUGCAAGUCGAACGGUAACAGGUCUUCGGACGCUGACGAGUGGCGAACGGGUGAGUAAUACAUCGGAACGUGCCCAGUCGUGGGGGAUAACUACUCGAAAGAGUAGCUAAUACCGCAUACGAUCUGAGGAUGAAAGCGGGGGACCUUCGGGCCUCGCGCGAUUGGAGCGGCCGAUGGCAGAUUAGGUAGUUGGUGGGAUAAAAGCUUACCAAGCCGACGAUCUGUAGCUGGUCUGAGAGGACGACCAGCCACACUGGGACUGAGACACGGCCCAGACUCCUACGGGAGGCAGCAGUGGGGAAUUUUGGACAAUGGGCGAAAGCCUGAUCCAGCAAUGCCGCGUGCAGGAUGAAGGCCUUCGGGUUGUAAACUGCUUUUGUACGGAACGAAAAAGCUCCUUCUAAUACAGGGGGCCCAUGACGGUACCGUAAGAAUAAGCACCGGCUAACUACGUGCCAGCAGCCGCGGUAAUACGUAGGGUGCGAGCGUUAAUCGGAAUUACUGGGCGUAAAGCGUGCGCAGGCGGUUAUGUAAGACAGAUGUGAAAUCCCCGGGCUCAACCUGGGAACUGCAUUUGUGACUGCAUGGCUAGAGUACGGUAGAGGGGGAUGGAAUUCCGCGUGUAGCAGUGAAAUGCGUAGAUAUGCGGAGGAACACCGAUGGCGAAGGCAAUCCCCUGGACCUGUACUGACGCUCAUGCACGAAAGCGUGGGGGAGC
rnacentral:rRNA from 1 species